UCUCUCUCUUUUGGUUUUUCGGGACAGGGUUUCUCUGUAUAGCCUUGGCUGUCCUAGAACUCACUUUGUAGAUCAGGCUGGCCUCAAACUCAGAAAUCUGCCUGUCUCUGCCUCCCAAGUGCUGGGAUUAAAGGCGUAUGCCACCACUGCCUGGCUUGGUUAAUUUUCAUAACCACAAAAUAUGGACUCAAACAUUAAUUAAGCCAAACCUUUAAGUCAGACGACAGAGGCUAUGUUGUAGCUUCCUGUUUGUACCUGCUGUGGUGAGUGCCACCUUAGCUAUGACAGGGUAGGACUCAGCAGAAGGAGAACAAAUCUCUCUGAGGUAGAGCUGCUCUUAGUAUUGUUGCAGAACAUUGCCUACGCUCCACCACUGGAAAGACUCAGAGUUUAUGUGUUCUGAUCUUAGAAUACACUUUUUCUUUAUUCCCUAUUAGAAACAUGAUUUACACAAGAUGAAAUUUACCUUAGCCUAUCUACUACUAUUUUGUUACUAUUUAGAGUAUCUUGUAACCACUGCCUCAAGUAAGGUACAGAACAGUUUCAUUAUCUCAGAGAAUUCCUGGACUUCUUUCUGUAGGCAAUCCUCACAUCUACAGUCACAUCGCGGUGAACAUGAGUUGAUACAUUUUCUCUAUCACUAUAUGUGCACCCACAUAGUCCAUACACAUUAGUAGAUUAUUCAUAUCCAGACAAAGUCAUUAAUUCUCUUCUUGAUGGAGGGAGCCAACAUUUCUACAGUACCAUAUUGAUACCAUAGGAUACCAAGUAGAGUUUAUUGUAUGAAAAAAAUAUAUUUUCAUUAAAAGAAAAUAGAUUUCUCUUACUAUUACUGUUACCAUUAGUGUUUUUAGAAUGUCAUCUAAGAGAAAAGAUGUUUGUGUUCUUUCAAAUGUAGCUUCCAUCACUUACUGUAACAUGUUUGAGAUUUGCCCAUCUUAUUGGCCCUUUAUGCUGCUGAAAUCCUGUCCCAUUGGAAGCAUGCACUAGUUUGUUAAUUGGUUUGUCCAGUGAGGGAUAAUUCACUUGUCCCUAGUUAUAUUUCCUUUCAAGAAUCAAACUCAUUCACCCCUCUUCUUGUCUGAUCACCCUGGAUCCUCUCGUUGUGACCAGAGUGCUGAGAGAGCAUUGUUAGUCUUCCACUCGGCGGAAAGCUUUCAUGACUACUUCAUGGCUAAACACAGGUUAAAGAAGUUUUCUGUACCAGUUGGCUGGAUGUUUGUCAGAAGAGAAUAUUGAGGUUGGUUAAACAGGGUAUCCCUGCCCCCCCAACUGAAAUGUCCACGAGGGCCUUCAUGUUUGCCAUGUUACAGUGGGUCAUGCUGAUUGCUUUUUUUAAGAUGUUGAACUAGACCAAGGUAGUAUGUGGAAAACCCUUCUCGUCAGGUAGUGUUGCUGCUUUCAUACAUUAAUGAACGCGACUGGCUGGUGUUUUGCUGAGGGUUUUUUCAUGGGUUCUCAUCAGGGAUGUGAACCUGUCUUUUGUGGUGCUGUGGCUGAAACCCAGAGCCUUGGACCCAAUCAGCCGGCUCUCCUUCCUCCCCCUGUAUUCUGUAUUACUAAGUAUGAGUUGAUGCCGUUAGUUUUGAGUCACCUCUAAAUAAUUCAACAAAUACCUCUUUAAAACCAAGCAGACCAAUUGUCAUUGCCAGGUGCUUGCAGAAAUGAAAGGAAAAUUGAAACUAUAUUCUCUACCCUCUGGGUUUGCAGUUAAAAUGAGAAGCAGGCAUAGGCACAGACGUGCAUGCAGGUGUGCGAAGACACGGAGUAAAUGUGCGCAAAGACUUAAGUGUGCUUUGGAGCUGGGUGGCAGGAAAAACAAAUCUUAAUCCUGCCUGUGGGGGGUCUGAGAAGGUCGUGUUUGCUUCUCUGAGAAUGGAAAUCAUAGUGGAGGACACUGAAGGCACAGUAAAUGUUUUCAACAGUGGCGGAAAACAUCAGGCUGUGCACACACACAAACAGUGACAACAUCAGUGCAGUGACAGCUCACAGCCCAGGGAGGAGGGCUGGAGCGCCAUGGCAUUUCUUGGGGCUGGAGAGAAAGUUCAGCAGUGCACACGGAGAACCAUCAUGGUCAGACACCCUGAAGAUGCUUUUCGUUAAUACUGCAGAAGGUGUCUGAUCCGUGACAUGCUCUCUAGCGAAGGUGUGGGAGCUACUGUGACAGCUUUAAACCAGUACCAUUUUUUUUCCUUUUAUUGACAAUAGAUUUUUUUCCAUACAAUAUACUCUACCUAUGAUCUUGUUUCCCCUACACCUUCUGUUUCUUCCCCACCUCCCUUCCCAUCUGUAUCCACAAACUGGUAUCCAAGGAAUAAUAAUAAAAUACG
rnacentral:lncRNA from 1 species